GUGCCAGCAGCCGCGGUAAGACGGAGGGUGCUAGCGUUGUUCGGAAUCACUGGGCGUAAAGGGCGCGUAGGCGGCCUUGGCCGUCGGCUGUGAAAGCCCGGGGCUCAACCCCGGAGGUGCAGCCGAGACCCCAAGGCUGGAGGCCGGAAGAGGAGGGUGGAAUACCCAGUGUAGAGGUGAAAUUCGUAGAUAUUGGGUGGAACACCGGUGGCGAAAGCGGCUCUCUGGUCCGGUCCUGACGCUGAGGCGCGAAAGCGUGGGGAGCAAACAGGAUUAGAUACCCCCGUAGUCC
rnacentral:rRNA from 1 species